rnacentral:lncRNA from 1 species
GGGGCGUGACAAAGAUUAUACUGAAAAUAUUAUCGAGUAGGGGAGUGGGUAUCUUGUAUUACUGAUGGCGGGUUACAUUGUAAUUAAGUAUGUAAAAUUACAAGUUUAUCCUUUUGAACCCCAUACCUUUUCAAUACAUCAUUUUUAAAAUUUUAAUUUAAAUUUUUAAAUUGUCAAAUUUGAAGUUUGAAAUUUUAAUUUAAAAUUUUAUUUAAAAAUUUAAAUUUAAAAUUUUAUUUUAAAAUUUAAAAUUUGAGGUUUCUGACAAGUUACAAGAGUGAUCGAAGCGCCAGAAGGUCAAAAGUGCAUUGUUCGUUAGAUGUGGAAAAGUGUGAAGUUUAAAUGUGAUAUUGGAAUUUGACUGAUUAUGAAGUCUGAUAAGUGGGAAUGAUAAUUGGAAUUAUUCUACAUUUUCUAAAGGGUUUAGAGACGUUGGUG